CCUCAGCUCCGUCCCGUCAGCACCGGCCAGCCAACCUGAAAACAUUUGAAAGUAUUUUUGGGCUAAGUACUAAUGUACUUAGUGGGCAUGCAUUUUCUGAAACAUCUCAUAUUUUGUUAAAGACAGUUUAUCCAAUCAUAAUUUACAUAACUUAGAAGGUUUUAAAUUGAAAUAACUUCUAAGCAUGUUAAAACAUUUUCUUUCAUUUGUGCGCACAUGUCACACUCCCUUUCCGUUACUCGCUGUGAUCCCGGACCUUUUAGCCACCGACGGAUCCAUUACUCCCGCUUGCUUGAACUGAGGGCGUAACCCAACCAAGUUCCCAUUUGGGACCCAAUGCUCCGGAACACAUCCCGUCGAGCACCCUUAUAACGCCUCAUACAUGAUUAGUGCCCGAUGGAGAUCAACCCACCAGGUCAGCUAAUAGGUGUACACAAUUCUCAAAUAACGUGUUAGGUCAAGAGAGAACCUCGAUCGAUUCAUUGUUGC
rnacentral:lncRNA from 1 species